UACGUAGGGACCGAGCGUUGUUCGGAUUCAUUGGGCGUAAAGGGCGCGUAGGCGGCGGGGUAAGUCGGGUGUGAAAUCUCAGAGCUCAACUCUGAAACUGCACUCGAUACUGCUCUGCUUGAGGACUGGAGAGGUGAGUGGAAUUCUCGGUGUAGAGGUGAAAUUCGUAGAUAUCGAGAGGAACAUCGGUGGCGAAGGCGGCCUUCUGGACGGUGACUGACGCUGAGAUGCGAAAGCGUGGGGAGCAAACAGG
rnacentral:rRNA from 1 species